rnacentral:lncRNA from 1 species
CUGCACUUAAGAAUAGAAAAGCAGCAUUCUGAACAGCAAUGCUCAUCACAUAAACAUGAAGUUUCCUCCAAAAGGAAUGAUGACUAAUGCUUUGAGGAAACAGCAGACGUCAGACAGCAAGCCCAGAAAAACCUGCCAGCACCAAGAGGGUGUCCUCAACAGGCGCCUGGGGGACAUAUUAUUCUAACUAAAGAGACCAGAGCUUCCCCAGGAAGGGAAGAGGAGAGAAAUGAAGAACGUCUGUGUUCAUGUUUGCCAAAAACAAAAGUCUGAGAAAUCUCUGAGAGACUCUACAUGGGAGGGCACUAAUCGAAGCACCUCAUUUAAAGUGAGAAAAGCUUUGCUAAGGGCAGAUGAUUCAGCACGGUAUCCUUCGAUGAGUACUGUCAUCUCAAAUCCUUUUUAAGAAGAAAAGUGCAACCCACUGGAGAAAGAGAGGGACUCCGAGGAAGGAGAGAGAGAAGAGCAUCAAGCACAAAUGAUGAUCUCCUAGGACAGUGGCAGCUUCUGAGAAUGCACAGGAAAGUGACCAGGGAAAGAAUGAUUCCAUCUCCAGGAAUCCCUGGUGAUCUUCAGAGCCCAGACAGGACCCUGCUGGGCCAUGGUAACUGAGAAACUGAGAAGCAGAUACAGUGGUCCCUAUGUUGGCAACCUCAGCUGAAGAGGAACAACUCUCUCUAUAAUCAAGGACUUCUGAAACCAGAAAUCACCAGCGUGGGGAGAGAACAUUAAAGGCAGAGGUGUCUCUUAUAAGCACAACGUGUGACCAGAACUUGGAUUACUGUCAGCUUCUAGUGUCUCCAUCAUUCAUAAUUGCACUGUGUUGGUCCACCCACUUUACUCCUAAAGAAGAGGUAAGAAACAGAAGAGGAGAUCACAGUGGCUCUUCAACUAUUAAUAUACCACAGACUUCAAUAACAAAUGAAGAGAAACAAGAAAAGAAAGCAAUGCAAAAAGAACGGUACUAUUAUCUCAAUUUUAGAGAUGGAAAAACUAAGCAACAAGUAGUUACAGAAGUUGUCCAGGAUCGCACAGUUAGACAACGGCAGUCAAGUUCUGGUGAGCCCAAAGGCUCCAUCUUAACCACUCUUCUAGGCUACCUCUCCAGGAUGGAAGACACUAUCUUUUCAGGUUUCCAUUCAAUAGAAAAGUCAUCUUGAAGAAGUUUGAUGUUGGAUUUGAUUUUGAAAGACGAAUUGGAGAUUAAGAAGUGGUAAUAAGAGUAAAGAAAAAAACCCAAAUAGAAUUACAAGCACAAAGAGAUGUAGAAAUAAAUAUUUCUUGGAAAGAUAAGCUUAAAAGGCCUUCCUCACUUACUCCAAGGGCACACUGGAGAAGAGCAUGAUGAAGCAUCGUUUUCACUGAUUCGCUGACGAGGAGCAUGAUGGGUGACCUGUUAAUCAGGAGAUAGCUGGAGUUUAGUACUGAGUUAUAUGGGAAUAGAGAUCUCGUUUCCACUACCUACAAAGGGAACUUAGGUAUCAACGAAAGGAGAUUUCCCUUUCAAUCUUACUGGUGACAAACUUCUCCUGAACAACAGAAUUCCUUCCUUUCAUCCUUUUCUGCAGUUACCUGCAUGAUGACUAGUCAAUCAAUAAAUUAGAAAAGGAUUUUCAACUCUAGAUCUGUGGUCAAACUUUCAGUGCCUGUUCCCAAGAGUAUAACAUUUUUGAAAAGACAAACAGGGAUUUCAUGCACACACAGAUAGAUGCCCAUGGAAUGUUUCUGUCAGUAAAUUAGAAAAUAUUUGUCUGGCUUCAGCAAUAUUACAUUUUCGUAUGUAUUAACAGAAUCAUACCCUGGAAUACUUAAUAGCCUAUAGAAAUUUUUCUAAAAUAUGUGACC